ACUUUCUGAGUUUGACCUCGAAUCAGGUAGGAUUACCCGCUGAACUUAAGCAUAU
rnacentral:rRNA from 1 species